CGGUUCCAUGUCCAGAAGGCACCUUCCGUCCUCUGGAAAGUCUUCCUCCACAUCAAUGUUUGCAUUGCCCUGUGGAUUUCUUCAGUGAUAAACCCGGCCAGUCGGCUUGCUUUCCAUGCGGCUCCGAAGCCGUCCAACCCAAAGAAGGCCAAACGGUUUGCAAAUGCCUUCGGAAAGGUCGGAUUUUCCAGCCUAGUGAUGCUCAAUGCCCAUGCGCUCCUGGUUAUAGAAACCCAACCAAUGACAGGAGAUGGGACUGCGUGAAGGAAGUAUACGACAUCUGCCGGGAUGGAGCAGUCCGAAACCAAGAAGGAGUGUGCUUGACCAAAGAAGGAUGGACACAAUACUGUACAGACAAGAUUUGCACCCAUCCUCAAGACUUCCAGGGAUACGACAGAGUCCUUGGACUUUGCCUUUGCAAAGCAGACCAUCUGGACAGCGUCUGCAAUGACCGAUGCAGACGGCGGCAAAGGAACGUCUUGCAAUUGGUCUGUGACCAGGAUCCGCUUCGUCUGUCAGUGACUUACAGAAAUGG